GCGCCAAAAAUAACCGCCCGAAGGCCGGGGCGCCAAGUUCGUCCAGCGGAAAAAGGCCACAAAAACGGGUGGGCUAUAGCCUUGGGGGGUGGGGCUGGCAACCUUUGUCCGCUGGACUCGGAAUGCCGCGAGACUUUGCGAGGGCCUCCUAUUGCCAAAAAUUUGCCGCGGGCAAAGCCGCGCCCAAAAUUAACUUCCCGAAGGCCGGGGCGCGUAGUUCGUCCAGCGGAAAAAGGCCACAAAAACGGGUGGGAUAUAACCUUGGGGGGUGGGGCUGGCCCACUUCGUCCGCCGGACUCGGAAUGCCGCGAGACUUUGCGAGGGGCCUCCGUGUGCCAAAAAUAGGCCGCGGGCAAAGCCGCGCCCAAAAACAACCGCCCGAAGGCCGGGACGCCAAGUUCGUCCAGCGGAAAAAGGCCACAAAAACGGGUACGCUAUAGCCUUGGGGGGUGGGGCUGGCCAACUUCGUCCGCCGGACUCGGAAUGCCGCGAGACAUUGCGAGGGGCCUCCGUGUGCCAAAAAUAGGCCGCGGGCAAAGCCGCGCCCAAAAUUAACCGCCCGAAGGCCGGGGCGCCAAGUUCGUCCAGCGGAAAAGGCCUCAAAAACAGGUGGGCUAUAGCCUUGGGGGGUGGGGCUGGCCAACUUAGUCCGCCGGACUCGGAAUGCCGCGAGACUUUGCGAGGGGCCUACGUGUGCCAAAAAUAGGCCGCGGGCAAAGCCGCGCCCCAAAAUAACCGCCCGAAGGCCGGGGCGCCAAGUUCGUCCAGCGGAAAAAGGCCACAAAAACGGGUGGGCUAUAGCCUUGGAGGGUGCGGCUGGCGAACUUCGUCCGCCGGACUCCGAAUGCCACGAGACUUUCCGUGGGGCCUCCGUGUGCCAAAAAUAGGCCGCGGGCAAAGCCGCGCCGAAAAUUAACCGCCCGAAGGCCGGGUCGCCAAGUUCGUCCAACGGAAAAAUGCCACAAAAACGGAUAGGCUAUAGCCUUGGGGGGUGGGGCUGGCAACCUUCGUCCGCUGGACUCGGAAUGCCGCGAGACUUUGCGAGGGGCCUCCUAUUGCCAAAAAUUGGCCGCGGACAAAGCUGCGCCCAAAAUUAACUUCCCGAAGGCCGGGGCGCGAAACUCGUCCAGCGGAAAAAGGCCACAAAAACGGGUGGGAUAUAGCCUUGGGGGGUGGGGCUGGCCCACUUCGUCCGCCGGACUCGGAAUGCCGCGAGACAUUGCGAGGGGCCUCCGUGUGCCAAAAAUAGGCCACUGGCAAAGCCGCAGCUAAAAAUAACCGCCCGACGGCCGGGGCGCCAAGUUCGUCCCGCGGAAAAAGGCCACAAAAACGGGUGGGCUAUAGCCUUGGGGGGUGAUGCUGGCCAACUUCGUCCGCCGGACUCGGAAUGACGCGAGACUUUGCGAGGGGCCUCCGGGCGCCAAAAGUAGGCCGCGGGCAAAGCCGCGCACAAAAAUAACCGCCCGAAGGCCGGGGCGCCAAGUUCGUCUAGCGGAAAAAGGCCACAAAAAUGGGUGGGCUGUAGCCUUGGGGGGUGGGGCUGGCCCACUUCGUCCGCCGGACUCGGAAUGCCGCAAGAAUUUUGCGAGGGGCCUCCGUGUGCCAAAAAUAGGCCGCGGGCAAAGCCGCGCCCAAAAUUAACCGCCCGAAGGCCGGGGCGCCAAGUUCGUCCAGCGGAAAAAGGCCUCAAAAACAGGUGGGCUAUAGCCUUGGGGGGUGGGGCUGGCCAACUUCGUCCGCCGAACUCGGAAUGCCGCGAGACUUUGCGAGGGGCCUACGUCUGCCAAAAAUAGGCCGCGGGCAAAGCCGCGCCAAAAAAUAACCGCCCGAAGGCCGGGGCGCCAAGUUCGUCCAGCGGAAAAAGGCCACAAAAACGGGUGGGCUAUAGCCUUGGGGGGUGGGGCUGGCAACCUUUGUCCGCUGGACUCGGAAUGCCGCGAGACUUUGCGAGGGCCUCCUAUUGCCAAAAAUUUGCCGCGGGCAAAGCCGCGCCCAAAAUUAACUUCCCGAAGGCCGGGGCGCGUAGUUCGUCCAGCGGAAAAAGGCCACAAAAACGGGUGGGAUAUAGCCUUGGGGGGUGGGGCUGGCCCACUUCGCCCGCCGGACUCGGAAUGCCGCGAGACUUUGCGAGGGGCCUCCGUGUGCCAAAAAUAGGCCGCGGGCAAAGCCGCGCCCAAAAACAACCGCCCGAAGGCCGGGACGCCAAGUUCGUCCAGCGGAAAAAGGCCACAAAAACGGGUACGCUAUAGCCUUGGGGGGUGGGGCUGGCCAACUUCGUCCGCCGGACUCGGAAUGCCGCGAGACAUUGCGAGGGGCCUCCGUGUGCCAAAAAUAGGCCGCGGGCAAAGCCGCGCCCAAAAUUAACCGCCCGAAGGCCGGGGCGCCAAGUUCGUCCAGCGGAAAAGGCCUCAAAAACAGGUGGGCUAUAGCCUUGGGCGGUGGGGCUGGCCAACUUAGUCCGCCGGACUCGGAAUGCCGNNNNNNNNNNNNNNNNNNNNNNNNNNNNNNNNNNNNNNNNNNNNNNNNNNNNNNNNNNNNNNNNNNNNNNNNNNNNNNNNNNNNNNNNNNNNNNNNNNNNNNNNNNNNNNNACAAAAACGGGUGGGCCUAUAGCCUUGGAGGGUGGGGCUGGCAACCUUCGUCCGCUGGACUCGGAAUGCCGCGAGACUUUGCGAGGGGCCUCCUAUUGCCAAA
rnacentral:lncRNA from 1 species